CUACAUUCUUUCAGAAAAUAGAAAUUAUGUAUUCACAAGAUAAUAAUUCUGACUAGAAAAUAUAAUUUAGUAUGUUUUAAUGUGAAAUGUUAAAAUAUGGAAGUGAUACUAUAUUUAGCAAAAUUGUUGAGGAAUGUAACUAGCUUUUUUUCUACCCAAACCUACUACACUUGACAUUUUAACAUUUCUCUACCAUGUUUUAACAUUUCUUUUCCUUAGGGUACAGUUAACAAAUGGAAACUCUAGAUGAACCCAACUGGAAUCUCACAGAACAGUGAAUUUGAAGACAACUUUAAGGACUGUCUUUAAGAAAACUUCUAAAAUAAUAUCUUAUAAUUGUGAAACUGUUGUGUUAAUUAGUGAUGGAUGCAAAACAAAGACAAGAUCUCAGUCAUAAGGCAUCAUGUGCACUGAUUCUCACAGAGGUGCAGGCCAACCAAACAAAAGCACUUCAGUCUUUGACAACUGAGAUGGCUCUGCUUUCUUAUACAGAUCCGAACUUGGCUUUUGUUCGAUGAUGCAUCAUCAACAUGCUGGAUUCCACAGAUAACGGUAUUUCAAGGAAAAAUCACAAACGUCAAACAUCAAGAAAUACUUUAAAAACCUGAGAUUCUGAAUGUGAAAUGUGAUGGUUGAUCUUAAUUGUCAACUGAUUGGUUGGGAACCACCCAUGGGAAUGGUAAAACACCCUUCUGGGUGUGUGUGGUAAGUCUUGGAAGUGUAACUCUGGGUACUAUUUAGGGAGGUCCUUUCUUCUCUGGCACCAUUCCACAGCUCUGUUUUGCAGCAGACAUGAACUAAAGCAGCUUUGCUCUGCCACACCUUUCUACCAUAAUGAUUCUGCCUUGGAGCCAAUCCACUAUGGACUGAAUCUCUCAAAACCAAUAGCCAAAUUAGACUUCUCCUCCUUUAAAUUGAUGAUGUUGAAUAUUGUGUUCUGUAAUGGAAAGGCUGCCAAUACAUGAAGUUUUAAGACUUAACCCAUUGAUUUUUAUCUAUCUUUAAUUUGUCCACUAGAUUGUUAAAAUAAAGUGUCUAAAUUGAAAGUAAAUUCUCAAUAUAUAUAAAAUAAGAUGGAAAAUAUCACAAUUUAAAUAGCAGUAAUUUUUACCUUGUGAUACUGUAAAUUAUGAUGUGAAUGUUACAGAAGGAAAACCUUCAUUACUGAAGAAAUUUUCAUUUAUUUUAAUAUGUUGUGAUUAUAGAAAAAGUACAUGGCAGACAGAAUAAUGGCCAGUUGCAAUACUCAUGUUUGAUAUUCAUGUUCCAUUGGCUGGAACCUGUGACUAUGUUACCUUACAUAGCAAAAGAGACUUUGCAGGUAUACCUAAGUUUGGGGAUUUGAGAGAGAAAAAUUCUAGACUAUUGGAGUGUUCCGGACACUGAACUGCUGGCUUGGUAAACAGGAAGAAACCAGGAACUGAAGAAUUCAGGAAGCCUCAAGAAGUUGAAAACAAAAAAAGGAUUUAUUUUCUUCACAGCCUCCAGAAAGAAAAUAGCCUUUCCCACAUGUUGUUAGGAUUUCUGAUCUCUACAUAUGUGAGAAAAUAUGUUCGUACUUUUAAAAUUUUUAAAGUAAUACAAGCAGAUUUAAUAAAGAAAAUAUUAAAAAGCAGUCUUCUUGCUUAUAUAAAAACACAAUUUUAUAACAAAAUAAUUAGAGAAUUAGUAACAAUUAAU
ensembl:lncRNA